UACGGGGGGGGUAAGCGUUGUUCGGAUUUACUGGGCGUAAAGGGCGCGUAGGCGGUCAGCACAAGUCAGUUGUGAAAUCUCCGGGCUUAACUCGGAAAGGUCAACUGAUACUGUGCGACUAGAGUGCGGAAGGGGCAACUGGAAUUCUCGGUGUAGCGGUGAAAUGCGUAGAUAUCGAGAGGAACACCUGCGGCGAAGGCGGGUUGCUGGGCCGACACUGACGCUGAUGCGCGAAAGCCAGGGGAGCGAACGGG
rnacentral:rRNA from 1 species